GAUGAACGCUGGCGGCGUGCUUAACACAUGCAAGUCGAACGAAGCGCCUUGGACAGAUUCUUCGGAUGAAGUCUUUGGUGACUGAGUGGCGGACGGGUGAGUAACGCGUGGGUAACCUGCCUCAUACAGGGGGAUAACAGUUAGAAAUGGCUGCUAAUACCGCAUAAGCGCACGGUACUGCAUGGUACAGUGUGAAAAACUCCGGUGGUAUGAGAUGGACCCGCGUUGGAUUAGCUAGUUGGCAGGGUAACGGCCUACCAAGGCGACGAUCCAUAGCCGGCCUGAGAGGGUGGACGGCCACAUUGGGACUGAGACACGGCCCAGACUCCUACGGGAGGCAGCAGUGGGGAAUAUUGCACAAUGGGGGAAACCCUGAUGCAGCGACGCCGCGUGAGCGAAGAAGUAUUUCGGUAUGUAAAGCUCUAUCAGCAGGGAAGAAAAUGACGGUACCUGACUAAGAAGCCCCGG
rnacentral:rRNA from 1 species